rnacentral:rRNA from 1 species
AUUGAACGCUGGCGGCAGGCUUAACACAUGCAAGUCGAGCGGAGAUGAGGUGCUUGCACCUUAUCUUAGCGGCGGACGGGUGAGUAAUGCUUAGGAAUCUGCCAUUUAGUGGGGGACAACAUUCCGAAAGGAUGCUAAUACCGCAUACGUCCUACGGGAGAAAGCAGGGGAUCUUCGGACCUUGCGCUAAAUGAUGAGCCUAAGUCGGAUUAGCUAGUUGGUGGGGUAAAGGCCUACCAAGGCGACGAUCCGUAGCGGGUCUGAGAGGAUGAUCCGCCACACUGGGACUGAGACACGGCCCAGACUCCUACGGGAGGUAGCAGUGGGGAAUAUUGGACAAUGGGCGGAAGCCUGAUCCAGCCAUGCCGCGUGUGUGAAGAAGGCCUUUUGGUUGUAAAGCACUUUAAGCGAGGAGGAGGCUACUAGUACUAAUACUACUGGAUAGUGGACGUUACUCGCAGAAUAAGCACCGGCUAACUCUGUGCCAGCAGCCGCCGUAACAC